CGGGCUUGCAGUACAGACCUAAGAAGCCAACCUAUCAAUCUGCAUGUGUCCAGGCAGGGAGUCCUUGUCUCUCUUUGCUGGGGAAGGUGAGGCACAGAGUGAGUUGCCUGAAGUCCUCAAGGAGCAGUUGCAGGGUUGGGGAGAUCAGAGUGCAGCUGCCACCCCAGCAGGAAGGACGUCCUGCCAUGCAAAUCCUGGGCCGUGCAGACCAGCUGCUCUCAUGCAGGGACUCUGGUGAGGGAUUGGGAAGCUCCCAUUGCAAUGAGGUGUUCUGAUCCCUUGAAAAAGGCUCAGUCUUUUGGAGUGCUGCUGCUUUUGGGAUGCCUGUGCUUUCUGCAGAAAGUUGUCCCUGUCCCCUUUGCGACAUCAGCCUCCACCAUAUUUGCAGUCCAAACAACCUGAGGGCAAAUAAGGAAGGAAAACAAACAGCCAGCUGCUUUCCAUUGAGUUCACGGGUUUCUCCUGGAUAUUUUGCAAGAGUUUUGUUUAGCCCAACUCUGGCUUCCACCCUCAGUGAUGUGAAGAAGCGAAGGAGCCAUGACUGCUCUCGUGUGAGUGGCCCAGCCGUGGUGACACAGCAGCAGCAGCUCAGGUGCUGGGGUUUGAGAUGUGACCUGGUGCUACAAAACCACAGCACAGCCUCACUGAUGUCCUUUAGUUUAUUAUUCUGCUCUUUGUUCUCAAGGACCUGCAACAAACUCCACAGAAGUAAAGAGGAUCUGUUUUCUGUGUUUGGGAUUUUAGGGUAUUUUUUUGAACAAAUCGUUGCAAAUCAGCUGCUAAAAAUGUGUAUGUAAUUUCUUUAAAAAUGCAUUUCCUGUAAAAUCAGCUGGGAUUGUCACUCUCCCUGGCCUCUCUUCUCCUCUGCAGUAACCCAGCACUUUGGUACAAGAACCCUAUGGCCAUUUCUUCCUCGUUUUUUCUCAGCUAAAACAUAUCCAGAAGGACUGCUGGUUUCCUUCAGUCAGAGGGAAGACUAAUUAAAAAACAUCUUUAUUAUGCUGGUAGGACCAGCCUAUCCCUCAAACAUUCAUCUUUCCUUUAAACAGUAAGAAUGAAAAGAAGGUAGUGUUAAACCAGCAUGGUGCAGGGACUCCACACACAGGAGCAACUGCAGCUUUUUUUCUCUUCAGCUGAUCCAAAUUUUUCUGCAGAGCCUGAUUUUUGAUAGAGUGAUUAAAAAACAUUUUUGAACAAGCCUCAGAAGGCAGCAAAUUUGUUCUCAGCGCACACAUAAAUAACACCAUGAUGUCUGAAGGUCUAAAAAAUAUCUGUUAAACAUAUGUCAGCAAGAAAUAGCAUUUCCAAGGCAGCUCUGCUCUCAACUUUUCUGCUUGAAUAUUUCAACAGAAAUUAUUAGUGCGGAUUUUAUUUUAAUCAUCAUGGAGGUUUUCAAAAAGCUCCUGCUUGGUGAUUCUUUUCCUCUUUGCAAAAUGCCUUUUUUUCUUUAAGUGAAUCAUUGACAAAUUUCUUACUCAAUUUUUUUUUUUUUUUUUUUUUUUGUCACAU